GCUGAAGUAGCUCAGCUGGGAGAGCGUUAGACUGAAGAUCUAAAGGUCCCUGGUUCAAACCCGGGCUUCAGCA
rfam:Phaethon lepturus contig110990, whole genome shotgun sequence.